rnacentral:rRNA from 1 species
CGAAGGUCCCAAGCGUUAUCCGGAUUUAUUGGGUUUAAAGGGUGCGUAGGCGGGCUAUUAAGUCAGUGGUGAAAGCCCCAAGCUUAACUUGGGAACUGCCAUUGAUACUGAUGGUCUUGAGUACAUUUGAGGUGGGCGGAAUGUGUCAUGUAGCGGUGAAAUGCUUAGAUAUGACACAGAACACCGAUUGCGAAGGCAGCUCACUAAACUGUAACUGACGCUAAGGCACGAAAGCGUGGGGAGCAAACAGGAUUAGAUACCCUGGUAGUCCACGCCCUAAACGAUGAUCACUCGAUGUGUGCGAUAUACUGUACGCGUCUGAGCGAAAGCAUUAAGUGAUCCACCUGGGGAGUACGACCGCAAGGUUG